rnacentral:rRNA from 1 species
GUUUUAAUAUUUUAGGAGUUUUUUAAAUAUUAUUAGGUAGAAUUUUUAAUGUUUAAAAUAUACAUAGCUUUUAAAUCAUAAAAAUUAUGAUAUGGACCAGGAUUAGAUACCCUGUUACUCAUAAAUAAUAAAUUUUGGAAUAGUAAUAAUGAUGAAAUUUAACGGAUUUGGCGGCAAGAUAGCCAUUUAGAGGAACCUGCCCUAUAAACGAUGGUCCACGAAAACUUUACUUUUUCUGGUAAUCAGUUUGUAUACCGCUGUUGUCAGUCAGUUUCUUUAGAAAACUUUCUAUUAUGAAAAAAUCAUAGACUUCAAGUAAAGGUGCAGCUUAUGAGAAAGAUAGAGGUGGGUUACAUUUAUUAGAUUAAUACAAAUAAAGUUUAUGAAAUAUCUUUUGAAGGUGGAUUUAAUUGUAAAGUUUAAGAAAACUUGAUGUGAGCUCUAUCUUGUGUACACACCGCCCGUCGCUCUCUUUUUUAAAC